GACGAACGCUGGCGACGCGCUUAACACAUGCAAGUCGAACGGAAAGGCCUGCUUUCCCUUGUGGAUUGCGGGUACUCGCGUGGCGAACGGGUGAGUAACACGUGAGUGAUCUGCCCCCAACUUGGGUAUAAGCCUGGGAAACUGGGUCUAAUUCCCGAUAGGACUGCAGGGUGGUGCCUGUGGUGGAAAACGAUUUUCUAGUGGUUGGGGAUGAGCUCGCGGCCUAUCAGCUUGUUGGUGGGGUAAUGGCCUACCAAGGCGGCGACGGGUAGCCGGCCUGGGAGGGUGGACGGCCACAGUGGGACUGAGAGACGGCCCAGAGUCCUACGGGAGGCAGCAGUGGGGAAUAUUGCACAAUGGGCGGAAGCCUGAUGCAGCGAGGCCGCGUGGGGGAUGGCGGCCUUCGGGUUGUAAACUCCUUUCGACCGCGAGGAAGCCACCUGGUUGGAAGGGUGGUGACGGUAGUGGUAGAAGAAGCACCGGCUAACUACGUG
rnacentral:rRNA from 1 species